rnacentral:rRNA from 1 species
ACAUAAAGGUAUAUGU